rnacentral:rRNA from 1 species
ACGGGAGGCAGCAGUGGGGGAUAUUGCACAAUGGGGGAAACCCUGAUGCAGCGACGCCGCGUGAGUGAUGAAGUAUUUCGGUAUGUAAAGCUCUAUCAGCAGGGAAGAAAAUGACGGUACCUGACUAAGAAGCUCCGGCUAAAUACGUGCCAGCAGCCGCGGUAAUACGUAUGGAGCAAGCGUUAUCCGGAUUUACUGGGUGUAAAGGGAGCGUAGACGGUGACGCAAGUCUGAAGUGAAAGGUGUGGGCUCAACCCGCAAACUGCUUUGGAAACUGUGUGACUAGAGUGUCGGAGAGGUAAGUGGAAUUCCUAGUGUAGCGGUGAAAUGCGUAGAUAUUAGGAGGAACACCAGUGGCGAAGGCGGCUUACUGGACGAUAACUGACGUUGAGGCUCGAAAGCGUGGGGAGCAAACAGGAUUAGAUACCCUGGUA